rnacentral:tRNA from 1 species
GGGCCCAUAGCUCAGCUGGAUAGAGCGUUUCCGUGGCACGGAAGAGGUCGUGGGUUCAAAUCCCACUGGGUCCA